rnacentral:rRNA from 1 species
AUCACCGAAGUUAAGCAUCGUAGAGCCAGGUCAGUACUUAGAUGGGGGACCGCUUGGGAACACCUGGUACUGUAAGC